GACGAAUCAAAGAGAGUUGUUUGGCCACAGUAAGAGCAGACAUGUGGCCAAAGACAGACGAAAAAAGUCCUGACAGUCCUGAAAAAGACAGUUUUUCCAGAGAAACACCUCAUACAAACUGUGAAGCACGGUGGUGGAAAUGUUAUGGUUUGGGGUUGCUUCGCUGCCUCAGGGACCGGACAGCUUGCAUUCAUUGGUUCAACUAUGAAUUCUGCAUCAUAUCAGAGAGCGCUUGAAGAUAACGCGAGGCCGUCUGUCCCAAAGCUGAAGAUGACCCGAAAGUGGACUUUUCAGAAGUAUAAUGAUCCUAAACACUCCUAAACAAAUCCACCAAGGAACGACUCAAAAAGAAGAAAUGGAGGGUUACGGAACGGCCGAGUCAAAGCCCAGAUCUGAAUCCCGUCGAAAUGUUGUUUGGAGUUUUGAAACGGGCAGAACAUGCAAGAAAACCCUCAGACAUCUUCCAACUGAAAGAAUUUCGCAUGUUAGAGUGGUCACAAAUUCCACCAAGUCUAGUGGACAAUUAUACAAAACGCCUAAAAGUUGUUGUUUCUGCUGAAGGGGGCAAUACUAGCUCCUGAGGCCAAAGGGUGUACUUACUUUUCCACAGAAGAACAUCACAUUUAUUUAUUUAUAUUUUUGUUUAAUAAAUGAUUUUCCUUGUAGUUUUGUUCAAGUACAUCAACUUUAUUAACAGGCCCUGUUCCAAAGAGGAUCAAAUGCUUUCUCGUCAAAAAAAGCCAACAAUUCCCACAGGGUGUACUUAUUUUUUCAUAUGACUGUAUGUGUGCGUGUGUGUGAUUUAUUAAAAAAAAAAAAAAAAAAAAAUAAAAAAUUGGGUGGGAAAAUAAAACCCAGACUUAAACUGAAGACGUUUGCAAAACUGUAUAUUUAUUUCUUAAGCACUUCACAUUCUUGCUACAAAAGUAUAUACAGAACUGGAUGUAUGCUCGUAUAUACAUAAUCUUUCGAAACGAAACACACAACGCAAUCAGGAGUAAAGAGGAAGAGCCGUGUCGUUUUUGUGAAAGCACACUGUGCUCAAGAUGCUAAGAGUCACGGUGCAAAGCAACUGUACAACAAAUUCAACACACAAGAACCACACGUUGUGUUCGGGAAUGAAGAUACGCUGACGUCAUGGUAUCGAAUUUAGUCACUGACAGAUCAGCAAAAAAAGACAUUUCCCAGGACCCAGGACAGAUUUCAUUUGAACAACAAUAAUGUAAAUAUGUACCAUCAUGCUGAUUUAUUCACACACAUGUAGAUUCGAAACACAGUGGAAACACUUCCUGGUUAUUAAAAUUGUACUUCGAUUAAAGUUAACAUCACUUAUACUUGCUUUCAGUUCUUGAGAUUUAACCCCUUUCUUACGAUAGCUAAAUAAUAACCGGAACAACCUUGAUAUAAAUCGUGUGUUUUAAAAAAAAAAUGUAAUACAUUCAGUAACCAUGGCUGUGAAUCAUAAAAAAACCCCAGAAAUAAAGAUGAACAAAAACUACAGCUUUUUAUUCAUGAAUUCCGUCCUGUUAUUCGUGCGAGUAACAGUAACCAUUUAAUUUGCCCAGAUAACACGGAUAUCGGUUUGUACCGAGCUAAAACAAGAGCAGAACGUUUUAUCACCCGUCUGUGUCACGUAGAACGCGCUUAAUGAUUAUAACUCUAGGCAAAAAACUCUCCAAGAGCAGCAGGUUAUCGUAGAACGGAUAUAAAUACGGACGUGAGAAAGUGUUAAUGUUGAUAAUGAGGUUUAAAUUAGAGUUAACGGAUAGCACGAAUGUAAAAACCCUUUUUCUUCCCGCGAUUCGCUGUAUUUAUAGCCUAGAUUUCGUUAAUGCUACAUUUGUACUGUUAUCUGCUACACUACGACUACGUAAGCACGAGCUCUGAAAAAAUGUAAUAAAAUUAAACAAUGUGUAUAUCACCCAAACAAAAAAAUUAAAAAAUCAAAGCUCUAUCCUGAUCCGUGAUCUACGUCGAUCAGAAAUAUCCUUACUGAUUAAUACAGGUGAAAAUAAACGGACAAACUCUUAAUACUCAUCAGUUAAUGCACGGAAUACUCCUUUUACAAAUAAUACAACCGUUUCCAAAGCACACAGAACCUGCACUCGGCGUACGCCGACACCGUUCUGAGCUUACCUUAGCAAACCGUGCUCUAAAACUCGAUCCAACCGCGUCCGGCUUGUUUUCUGACUGAUCCACAAGCGACGUUUUGCCGUUUAAAAAAAAAUUAAAACGACCACAACGGUCAUUCGUUUCGCCGUAACGAUAGACGCGUUCCCGACGCAAAUGACAUUUCAACCUGCCAACCUUAGAGAGAAUAAUGCAUGCUCGAGUAAGUCACGUGACUGGAGUAGAAACUAUUCUAGGAAAACGAUGUUACGUGCUUUAAGUGUUUACAUUCGAACCAAAAAAACCAGACAAACAACUUUUGUUUCCCUCCAAAUCGCAAAAAACACUGUGUGUGUGUGUGUGUAUACACACACACACACACACACACACUAUCGUGACGGGCUUGGCCACGACGUUUAAAUACUGCCACAACAACGUAUUUAAUCACUUUCUAAUGAUCGUUAGCAUUAAAUCAUUUGUAACGUGUUAGAUUUGGCCUACUUAAUCACUUAAAAAAGAAAAAAAGAAAAGAAAAAAAAACUACGGAUCUCAUCGCUAAUAAACGUAGUAGCCGAUGUUAGCUAUAUACACGUAUAAAGUUAGCUAAUUCAAACGCACACUGAUAGAGAGUUUAUUUCACAUUAACGAACUCAAAACAUUCCCAUUGUAGCUACCGUCAGAGAAUUUAAGAUAAUAGAAAAGUGGGCGGGGCUUCGAGAUUGUCGGUGAACAUCAGAGAGUUCGAAACAUCUACGCAGCUGUCGGUCAUUCCAGAUCCGUCUAUCGAUCGGUUCAUCUGGGGGAAGGACUUGCCGUCCGGAGAUAGAGACCUGCUCUCUGGAUGGGAGGGGCAUACUCGCUCUGAGCCCUGUCAAUCACAGCGACACCAGCCGAUAGCGAGAGUUCACGACAGUGUGCGGAAGAGGGAAGAGGGCGGCGAGCGCGAGUGAAAGGUUGGCAGGUCUGAAGUCUACACGCUGGAUAACAGCACAGCUUUAGUGGAACUGCUAUACACAUGUAUACUUCUAGUGAAGCAUACUAUUGAAAAAUAAAAUCUCUAAAAUGGAAAGUGCUGCUGAGGAAAACACCUGAAGAAGCCCUGACCAAAGGGGAAUCCCCCAACAUUCCCAAACUCCUCCUCUGCAUCUGCACUCCGUCACACCGUGAAACUGAGAGCGUCCAGAGAGACGAGCUGCUACACAAACCGGUUUCCGUUCCGUCCGGACAGAAGAGCUACAGUAAACCAGGAAUGUCGUGCCGAGUCAGUUCACAAACCGAGCUCUCUCUCACACUGGGUGGGUUUUUAAGCCUGGCCUGCUCUGUAGAUUAGAUUUAUUAUUCUCAGUAAUCAGACGAAAGAAGGAUCAGCGUAACUCUGGGGAUGAGGAGGUGGUUUGUCUUCGCUGUAGCUUUGGAGGCAGGAAAUCAAGAGAGACUCGUUAACUAAUUCUUUCACCAGCACUCGUUUGUUUUUUUCUGUCUUGCCCCUUGGCUUGUGAUCGGAUUGGUCAGGAGAUUGUGGAAGCUCUACUGUGACCAAAAAAAACCCCCCAGCAGCAUCAGCGCCUUUUAAAAGCAGCUGAUUCCUCUCUGAUAACAUGACAAACAUGCGCUGCGGGUUAAAAAUAAAUACGCCAAGUGUAAAAACAGCCUGGAUAAACUGAGCACACAGUACAGGAUUAUGCAAUUGAUUUAAAAAAAGAAAAAAAAAAACAUUAAAAACGGAAGUGCAUCUGUCUGAAAUCGACUGCACAGCUUAAAGCUUUGAGUUCAGUCUCAGAAGUUCCUCGGAAGAAAGAAAGAAAAAAAGAAAUCCUUCUUUAAUACUUGGUUUCGUCUCUCUCGCUUUUUUUUUUUGUAAAGUCAGGAAACCGACGGUGUUUUGAGUGCCUGUAAGUUUUGGCCCCCCUCUUCCGCUGACUGGGUGCAAUUCAGCUAAAAGUUUCUGCCGUAUUUCACUUUUUCACUUCCAAAUAAUCCCACGCGUUCUCUAUAGAAUCGAAGUGCUGCUGAUUUUACAGCGCUGUCAGUGUUUCCAUGAACAAAUCGCACACGGAUCUUGUCCUGCACACCUUAGUCUUCAUGCUGGAACUGAGGAGAGUCGGUGUUGUGUUUGGCGAGUCCGUUCGUCCAAGUGCUCAAACUAUCGACAUCAUACAAUAAAGCGCUGCUAACGACGGAGUCUGUGUGUUUUUUUUUUUUUUGGUCCAGAGAGCUUAUAACGCGCUUCUUGUUAUUGCAUCUACGUGAAUAAUCAGGGGUCUCGAAUAAUUCUGUUUAUGUCCCCAAGACCAACAAACAUAAAAAAAUGUUGUUUAUAAACACUGAUAUUAGGCCUUGUGCGUGAAAUGACAUCGUAUCGGUCGAAUUCACGUGGUUGUGUGUCAUAUAGCACAGAAACCCUGAGCUGGAUGAAGCACAAGUCGAAGUAGGCCAGUAGUCUAGUGUUUAAGAGCUAGUCCUAAAAAGAGACCGUGCUCGGAGCCGAGGGACCGAGAGCCAGUGUGGGGAUCUCGAGAGCUGGACAGCUGUAAUCACUCACAUUUCUAAGAAGGUUAACUUAUGCAGAACCGUUUUUAUUCGUAAGUCACUGUUAAUAAAAUGUCAAUAUCAGAUGACUAAAUUACGGCUACGUUUACACAGAGGAACCGUUCAGAAACGAGAACGCUUACACCGACACGACUCCACAUAAACAAAUGAGACUUUCUGAUAAACUUUUAUGAGACAUCUGAGACUCUGUUAUUACUCCACCAAGCAACUGACAAUGUUAAAAAUCCAAAUUUUUGUCCCAAACGUUUAGUUCUUGUGCCAUUUCCUUUAUUUUUUUCAUAACCUUAAAGAAAGAUAAAGAAAGAAAGAAAGAAAGAAAAAAAACUCUGAACUUCAUGAUCUCAUUCUUUGGUAGUAUUUUCCUAUAUAUUUGUACUCCGACAAAAUAAAUAAUGAAAGCUAAUCCGAGCCUAAAUGAUGAACCGUUCCGAUCCGUUUAAAUUUAGCACCCGAGCUAAUUCACGUAGAUGCAAUAAAUAUCGAGAUUCGUUUGCGUAAUAACAAAAUAAACCAACGCCACCCAUGUGACCAUGAGUCACUGAUCUUGUAAACAUGUCCAGAAAGACAAAUCCUGUAAUGUGCAC
ensembl:lncRNA